rnacentral:rRNA from 1 species
AUUGAACGCUGGCGGCAGGCCUAACACAUGCAAGUCGAACGAGUGGCGGACGGGUGAGUAAUGUCUGGGAAACUGCCUGAUGGAGGGGGAUAACUACUGGAAACGGUAGCUAAUACCGCAUACCAUCAGAUGUGCCCAGAUGGGAUUAGCUAGUUGGUGGGGUAACGGCUCACCAAGGCGACGAUCCCUAGCUGGUCUGAGAGGAUGACCCGCCACACUUGAACUGAGACCCCGUCCAGGCUCCCACGGGGGGCAGCCGUUGGGAAUUUUUCCCCAAGGGCGCAAUCCUGAUUCCGCCAUGCCGCGUUGUAUAAAGAGGCCCUCGGGUUGUAAAGUACUUUCAGCGGGGAGGCGUUACCCGCAGAAGAAGCACCGGCUAACUCCGUGCCAGCAGCCGCGGUAAUAC